GCAGCCUGCAACUCGGCUGCAUGAAGCUGGAAUCGCUAGUAAUCGCGGAUCAGAAUGCCGCGGUGAAUACGUUCCCGGGUCUUGUACACACCGCCCGUCACACCAUGGGAGUCGGGAAUGCCCGAAGUCAGUGACCCCAACCGGAAAGGGGGGAGCUGCCGAAGGCAGGCCUGGUAACUGGGGUGAAGUCGUAACAAGGUAAC
rnacentral:rRNA from 1 species